GGGAGAGAGAGGAGAGGCGGGAGAGGUGGGAGAGAGAGGUAAGGUGGGAGAGAGAGGAGAUGCGGGAGAGAGAGGAGAGGUGGGAGAGGUGGGAGAGAGAGGUAAGGUGGGAGAGAGAGGAGAUGCGGGAGAGAGAGGAGAGGUGGGAGAGGUGGGAGAGAGAGGUAAGGUGGGAGAGAGAGGAGAUGCGGGAGAGAGAGGAGAGGUGGGAGAGAGAGGAGAGGCGGGAGAGAAAGGAGAGGUAGGAGAGAGAGAGAGGCUGGCCAAUCGUCGGACCCCUGAGGAGCGCGUUCCGCCCCAAAGUGAGCUACCUGAUCUGCAGAGAGGCACAGG
ensembl:lncRNA